AAGGCUCUCAUGAUCUCAAGAUUAGCCAUGCAUGUCUAAGUAUAGCGACUUAUACUGUGAAACUGCAAAUGGCUCAUUAUAUCACUUAUAGUUCAUUUGAUACUAGUUUCUACUUGAAUAACCGUAUUAAUUCUAGAGCUAAUACAUGCGUUAAAACCCGACUGAUUACGGAAGGGUUGUAUUUAUUAAAUUGAAACCAAUGCAUACCUUGUGUCUGGUAUUGUGGUGAGUCAUAAUAACUAAGCGAAUCGUAUGGUCUUGCACCGACGAUGAUUCAUUCAAGUUUCUGCCCUAUCACCUGUCGAUGGUAGGGUAUUGGCCUACCAUGGCGUUAACGGGUGACGGAGAAUUAGGGUUCGAUUCCGGAAAGGGAGCCUGAGCACGGCUACCACGGAAAGGAAGGCAGCCGGCGCGUCCUUACCUCAUCCUGACAGGGGAGGUAGUGACUAUAAAGACAGAGCGGGGCCUUUGGUCUUGCAUUGGAAUGAGUUUCUUUAAAUCCCUUAGGAGGAUCAAUUGGAGGGCAAGUCUGGUGCCAGCCGCCGCGUUCUUCCAGCUCCAAUAGCGUAUAUUAAUGUUGUUGCAGUUAAAAAGCUCGUAGUUGGAUUUCUGACAAACUGGCCGGUCCGAGCCAUUCGGGUUCGUGUACUUGUGUUGUCUCUAGUCAUCCUUAUGGAGAACGUGUGUGGCAUUAACUUGUCGUGCUCGGGACCCAUAUCGUUUACUGAGAAAAAUUAUAGUGUUCCAGCCGCAACGCUGUGAAUACGUUAUCAUGAAUAAUACAUAGGACUUUGUACUAUUUUGUGAUUUGAUACAAGGUAAUGAUAACAGAGACAGUGGGGUAUUCUAUUUUAGUCGAGUGAAUACUUGCAUUUUACAAGACAGCUACUGCAAAGCUUUACCAUGAUGUUUUCUUAACAGAUUAAGUUCGAGAUCGACAUGAUAGAUCCAUUCUAUCUAACAAACUAUGCCGAUCGGAUGCGACGUCAUCACGACUCGCUCCCUAAUGAAAAUCUAGCUUCGGUCAGGGGAUCGUCCAAGCUGAACAUUAGAAUGACGACGCACACAACUGAGCUGCGCUAUUGACUCAAACGAACGUACGGGCCGAC
rnacentral:rRNA from 1 species